rfam:Desulfotomaculum kuznetsovii DSM 6115, complete genome.
UCCAUCGCGAGGUGGAAUCCGAAGGAAGCCGGAGGCAAAACCACGGCCCGAUGAACAAGAACCCCAUAAGAGGCUAAGCCGUUCGGAUGAGCUGGCGUGACACAGCGAAAUCCCAGGCUGCCAAGGGACGGCGGAGUAUAUGGGGCGGGCACGGGGUGAAGGUUAACGCU